rnacentral:rRNA from 1 species
GGAAUAUUGGACAAUGGGGGCAACCCUGAUCCAGCCAUGCCGCGUGAGUGACGAAGGCCAUUGGGUUGUAAAGCUCUUUCACCUGCGACGAUGAUGACGGUAGAAGGAGAAGAAGCCCCGGCUAACUCCGGGCCAGCAGCCGCGGUAAUACGGAGGGGGCAAGCGGUGUUCGGAAUUACUGGGCGUAAAGGGCGCGUAGGCGGGCGCACAAGUCAGAGGUGAAAGUCCUGGGCUCAACCUGGGGACUGCCUUUGAAACUGUGUGUCUUGAGUUCGGAAGAGGAGUGUGGAAUUCCCAGUGUAGAGGUGAAAUUCGUAGAUAUUGGGAAGAACACCAGUGGCGAAGGCGGCACUCUGGUCCGAAACUGACGCUGAGGCGCGAAAGCGUGGGGAGCAAAC